rnacentral:rRNA from 1 species
UACAGAGGGUGCAAGCGUUGUUCGGAAUUAUUGGGCGUAAAGAGCGUGUAGGCGGCCAGACAGGUCCGUUGUGAAAACUCGAGGCUCAACCUCGAGACGCCGAUGGAAACCGUCUGGCUAGAGUCCGGAAGUGGAGAGUGGAAUUCCUGGUGUAGCGGUGAAAUGCGCAGAUAUCAGGAAGAACACCCGUGGCUAAGGCGGCUCUCUAGUACGGUACUGACGCUGAGACGCGAAGGCGUGGGGAGCGAACAGG